CCUACGGGAGGCAGCAGUGAGGAAUAUUGGUCAAUGGACGAGAGUCUGAACCAGCCAAGUAGCGUGAAGGAUGACUGCCCUACGGGUUGUAAACUUCUUUUAUAUGGGAAUAAAAUGUUCCACGUGUGGGAUUUUGUAUGUACCAUAUGAAUAAGGAUCGGCUAACUCCGUGCCAGCAGCCGCGGUAAUACGGAGGAUCCGAGCGUUAUCCGGAUUUAUUGGGUUUAAAGGGAGCGUAGGUGGAUUGUUAAGUCAGUUGUGAAAGUUUGGGGCUCAACCGUAGAAUUGCAGUUGAAACUGGCAGUCUUGAGUACGUGAGAGGUAGGCGGAAUGCGUGGUGUAGCGGUGAAAUGCUUAGAUAUCACGAAGAACUCCGAUUGCGAAGGCAGCACACUGGACUGCAACUGACACUGAGGCUCGAAAGUGUGGGUAUCGAACAGGAUUAGAUACCCGAGUAGUC
rnacentral:rRNA from 1 species